ACUUACAGGUUUCGCAACAUCCAUCUUCAUCAGUUUUUUCAGUGCCCUGUGGUAAAAUACAGUUUUUAGGCACUCUUGCACUGUGUGAACCUUGGUACCUACCAGCUUGCAGCUCUCAUCACACUUCACUGGGGUGCACUCGACAGAAUGGAGUUUAGUGUCCGGAUCUACAGUGGAGCCACAUUUGCAAUCCUCGCACUUGUCUGAGGGAACAACUGCUCCUGGCUGCAAUAGAACACAACAGAGACACAGACAGGCUUGGGCUCUGCAGAGAGAGGAAACAUGGUGAAAUCAGCUCAAUAAAAAACACAAAUGCUAUGAUUCAUCCAAGCAGCCUUCCUAGCAAGUAGAUCUACAGAGUGCUAGCAAUGUUGUCACUCAUAACUGCUUUUGUAUUUGAUAGUAACAUAUGUAAAUAUUUCUAUGCUGUAUAUUAAAAUAUGAUAAUAUAUUUAACAUUAAUAUUUAUGAAUAUAAAAAAUGACAACUUUUUUAUUGAUGUAAAAUAUGUCAGUAUUGAACACGAGAAGCAAAUGUGAUAUGGUGUGUCCGCUGAGUGAUUAAAAUAUAAAUCACAAUGAUGCUUUAAGAGUGAACAAAAGGCCAAUGACAAAUCCUG